GCCUGGGUGGCUCAGUGGUUGAGCGCCUGCCUUCAGCCCAGGGCGUGAUCCUGGAGUCUGGGAUCGAGUCCCACAUCGGGCU
rfam:Canis lupus familiaris chromosome 5, whole genome shotgun sequence.